UGUGAGCUGUGCAAAUGGUGGCAAAUAAAAAGAGCUUCCCUUUGCUGUCCCCGCCAACCCUACAAGAGCAUGAUCAGCAGGAGGGGGAGCCCAGCUUUCUGGCCUACAGAUCCUUUCUGACCAUCGGAGUGACCCGUCCUUCUCCAACCUCAUGGCGACUCUCUCGUCACCAAUCAUUGGCAGCAACGCGGCCAUCAAUCUUUCCUGUCAGUUCUUUCUACCCCUUGGAAAGUAAUUGCACUUAUCAGAGACCUGUCACACACAGUAGGUGCUUAAUAAAUACUGAUUGCCCGAGUGACCCGGCAAAAGGAGCCGAUGGUGCAGAGCUGGCCCACUCUGAAGAAGCUCCAUCAUUUACACCGAGACCUUGGGACUCUGCCCCUUCACCAUUUGUUGUGGUCUCUGUCCAUCCCAGGAUCGCUCUCCUGGGAAUCAAAAUGGGAAUCCCCAUCUGCAAAGCGCCAUCAUCCGUUGCCACGGUGCCACCUACCCAAGUGGAAGGCUGUUUGACCAUCCCCUCACCCCAACCUAUGAGCACCCCCUAAAAAGGGAGCCCAAAAGCCAGCCUUCCCUGAUUUCUGCUCUGAAUUCCCUGCCUGCAGUCAGAAGAGGGAUGGAAAGGCCAUUCCGCAGCCCUCAGCAUCUUUUCUCCACCGGCUCAUUUUGAUACAGGGUGUGACCCCCGGAGAGGAGAUGACACUAUCCCACAGGGCGUGGCCCCAUACAGGAGGAAAUGAGACCAGCCCCACGUGGCCCAUUCCAAGGUGCGAUUGACGCCAGAGAGGGUGGCACUUUCCAGAAGGGGAGACUAGCCCCAGAGGGCAUUGCCUUUUUAAGGAGUAGAGACUAGCUCCAGAGGGCGUGGCCCCAUCUAUUGGGUGGGACUGACCCAAGAGGGCGUGGCCCCCUACAGGAGGUCAGACUGGCCUCAGAGGACCUUGCCCUUUAAAGGAGGUGAGACCGGUCUGAGAGGGCGUGGCGCCCCUUCCAGGAGGUGACACUGGCCCCAGAGGGUGUGGCCCCUUUAUGGAGAUCAGACUGGCCCCAGAGGGCGUGGCCCCUUCCAGGAGGUGACACUGGCCCCAGAGGGCGUGGCCCCUUUAAGGAAGUGAGACUGGCUCCAGAGGGCUUAACCCCUUCCAUGUGGUGAGACUGGCCCCAGUGAGCAUUGCCCUUUUAAGGAGGUGAGACUGGCCCUGAGGGGUGGGCUUCCUGAGGAGGUUCUCUCCACCCUCGGAUGGCUAUCUCUGAGACAACCGCAGACACUCAGCCCGAGCCCAACUGGACCCUGUGGGAUCUGGCGGGACCCGGUGGGAUCUGGCGGGACCCGGUGGGAUCUGGCGGGACCCGGUGGGAUCUGGCGGGACCCGGUGGGAUCUGGCGGGACCCGGUGGGAUCUGAUGGGACCCAGUGGGAUCUGGCGGGACCCGGCGGGAUCUGAUGGGACCCGGCGGGAUCCAGGAGGAUCGCCACCGGCCGCACGGAGCUCCCUGCUGCCCGGGCCUGGCCAGGCUCCUUCUCCUCCUCCCAGCAGCUCCUAACCUGGAAUCUGGGCCUCCCCUAAAAGGCCUUCCCGCUCCCCUCCAGAAGCCCGGCCUUCCCCUUUCCCGAGCCCUUGUCCGGCCGGGCCGGGCCCCCAGAGGCUUCUCGCCUCCCAGAGCCCCUGGCAGGGCGCCCGCCCCCAGCCCCGGCUUAGGGCUGCCAGUCCCUUAUGAAGCCACUAAGUAACGGGGCGCCUGGGGGAGGCUGGGAGCUGAAGGAGCCGCUCCCCCCGCGCCGGCCCCGGCCUCGCUGACCGACUCUGGGGCCGAGGAGCCCGCUACGCCCCUCAGCCUCGCGCCCCGGCCCCACCUGGCGCCGGCGCCGCCUCCCGAGCCUCCAGGUCCCUCCUGAGCCUCCUCCGCAGCAUCGCGUCUGACGGUUCUCUAGGAACUUUUGGGGGACGUGGCGUUUUCUUCUUAAAAAUCAAGGGGCGUGUGAGGGGGGCGAGAGAGGAGCUACCUGGGAAGUGGGGAAGGGGAGCCGGCAGCCCCCCCCCGGGACCGGCAGCCGGGACUCUGGGGACCUGGGGUCCCCUCUCCUUCAGGGAGGGAGGGGCGGGGACCUCCUCCUGCCCUGUGCUUCUGAGGAAGCCCAGGGAAGGCCCCCGGGACACCCCAGGGGCUCCAUGGUCACCCUGCCCCUGCCGCUGCUCUGAGUCCCUGCUCCGAGGGAAGUGGGGGUGGGGGUGGGGAACCUUCCUGUCCCCCUCCCCCUGACAAGUCACUGACUGUUGGGAAAGGGAGCUUUGGGGAGAGAGCCCAGAGAAGGGCCAGAAGGGCCUCGGAGCAGAGGGGUGGAAGUGCCCGGUGGGGGGGGGGGGGCUCUCCAGAAGCAGCCGAAGGAUGUCAGCCUGGGGAUGUGGGGGCCAUCCCCCCUCCCCCCCCCUGCUUUCCCGCAAGGGUUGAGCUUCCCUACAAAGAGAUCUGUUUAUAACCAGGCAAUGGAUGGCUUAAUUUAGGCCAAUAUGUGUUGGCUGUUUUGUAAAGUGGCAGGGUGCUCCCAGAGGCUGGGAGUGCUCCUAGGGGGUUAGGGUUGCUCCCAGAGGCUCCGAGUGCUCCCAGAGGCUCCAAGUGCUCCUAGAGCCUCCCAGAACACCUGCCCCAGCAGGGACAAUGGGCCAUUCCCCAGAGACUCCCACCGGGAGGAGGCCUUUGUCUGAAGCCUCCUAAAUCUUGGGCUCCCAAAGGCUCAGUCCUGAAUGUGGAGGAGGCCUGAGGGCCAAAAGCCCCUGCGUGGCCCCAUCCUGUGGUCAGUGCGGACCGGGCUCCGCGAGGUCAGUGAAAAGCCAGUCCCGGACACGGGGACACAGGGCGGGGUGGGGGGGAGGCUGGGCUGCAGGGCGGCUGGAUGGGGGCAGCCCCAGAGGGGUCUGGGUAUAAUGAUAAUAGUGGGCUUAAAGGGCGGCUGUAACGGGACUUUACAAACAUGAUCUCCCUGGAGCCUCACAACCCUGGGACAUGGCGUGGUCAGGAUCUCCACUUUACAGCUGAGGAAACUGAGGCAAACAAGUCAGGGCCCGUGCAGGGUCUCACAGCUGGUCCCUGUCUGAGGCCAUAUUGAAGGGGCCGUGGGGGAGGCGGCAGAAGGGCCCCUGUCAGGGCCGGGCUUUGGGGCAGUGAGUGAAACCCUCAGCCAGGGCCGGAGGCUGACUUCUCUGGGGAUUUCUUGUGACUGUCUCGGAGGGCUUGGGGAGGACUGCCUCCAGCCAUCAAGGUCAGCCCUGGAACCAGGGGCCUGCUGGGGGGGACUAUUCAGAUACCGGCCCUCGGUCCUUUGGGCCCUUGUUGAGAGAAGUAGUGAAGUCACACGUGGGGGCCCAACCCUCAGCGCCCCGGGGCCCGACUACUUUAGAAGGGGCUCGUGCCAGUGGGCGGAGCCCCCACCCGGAGUCAAGUGUUGGGGGUGCACCCCGCUCCCCCCCCCCCGUGCCCAUGCCCUGGGAGGUGAACCUAAGCAGAUGCUGGCGCAGCCUUGGGCACAUGGCUACCCCGGACAGAGCCCAGCUCCCUGGGCAAGCCCGUGGGCACUCACAGCCUCCCCGGUGCCCUGCCUCCACAUGGCUUUACCAGUGUUUUUCUGGAGUGUUGGAAUCUUUACAAAGUGUUAAGCCAUUGGAGUUGAUUUGAUCUUAGAAAGAGUUAUUUUGGGCCAGAACUUGAACUAGGUACUAAGUACAACUGAUGGAAACAAUGCUUGUGUUCACACCUUUGGAGAGCUCAUAAGUAUCUAAGAACUCAAUGGAGUUCACAUGCUUGGGAGAUUUCAGAGAGCAUGCUGGGAGAUAUCCCACAAUCCCACUCUCAGAGAAGUAGCAUAAAUACAGCUCCAGUGAGCGACUCAAGGGGGUUUGGGGGGAAUGUUGACUGGGGUCAGAGCGGAACACUCUGGAAGAAAGCCUACAAGCCCUAUCUUUGAGGCAAGAGAGAUCCAUUGCAUCUUCUACCUUGGUGCUGGCUGGAGGCUGAAGAAAGCAGAGGCAGAAGCCAAGGACAAAGCUGCAAGGGCUCUUGGAGCCAGGCAGAGAGUUAGGCCUCAACUAACCGGGCUAAUUUGGAGGGAGAAAUAA
rnacentral:lncRNA from 1 species